rnacentral:rRNA from 1 species
GUGCCAGCCGCCGCGGUAAUACGAAGGGGGCAAGCGUUGUUCGGAUUUACUGGGCGUAAAGGGCGCGUAGGCGGAUUCGUAAGUCAGAGGUGAAAGCCCUGGGCUCAACCCGGGAAUGGCCUUUGAGACUGCAAGUCUUGAGUGCGAGAGAGGGUGGCGGAAUACCCAGUGUAGAGGUGAAAUUCGUAGAUAUUGGGUAGAACACCGGUGGCGAAGGCGGCCACCUGGCUCGCAACUGACGCUGAGGCGCGAAAGCGUGGGGAGCAAACAGGAUUAGAUACCCCGGUAGUCC